AGAGUUUGAUCCUGGCUCAGGACGAACGCUGGCGGCGUGCCUAAUACAUGCAAGUCGAACGAGAAUUUCUUACACCGAGUGCUUGCACUCACCGUAAGAAAUUUGAGUGGCGGACGGGUGAGUAACACGUGGGUAACCUGCCCAAAAGAAGGGGAUAACAUUUGGAAACAAAUGCUAAUACCGUAUAACCAUGAUGACCGCAUGGUCAUUAUGUAAAAGGUGGUUUUGCUAUCGCUUUUGGAUGGACCCGCGGCGUAUUAACUAGUUGGUAGGGUAACGGCCUACCAAGGUGAUGAUACGUAGCCGAGUUGAGAGACUGAUCGGCCACAAUGGGACUGAGACACGGCCCAUACUCCUACGGGAGGCAGCAGUAGGGAAUCUUCCACAAUGGACGCAAGUCUGAUGGAGCAACGCCGCGUGAGUGAAGAAGGUCUUCGGAUCGUAAAACUCUGUUGUUAGAGAAGAACACGAGUGAGAGUAACUGUUCAUUCGAUGACGGUAUCUAACCAGCAAGUCACGGCUAACUACGUGCCAGCAGCCGCGGUAAUACGUAGGUGGCAAGCGUUGUCCGGAUUUAUUGGGCGUAAAGGGAACGCAGGCGGUCUUUUAAGUCUGAUGUGAAAGCCUUCGGCUUAACCGGAGUAGUGUAUUGGAAACUGGAAGACUUGAGUGCAGAAGAGGAGAGUGGAACUCCAUGUGUAGCGGUGAAAUGCGUAGAUAUAUGGAAGAACACCAGUGGCGAAAGCGGCUCUCUGGUCUGUAACUGACGCUGAGGUUCGAAAGCGUGGGUAGCAAACAGGAUUAGAUACCCUGGUAGUC
rnacentral:rRNA from 1 species